rnacentral:lncRNA from 1 species
UAAACAAUAAAAAAGUUCUCUUGAUGUGUUUUUUUCUCUCUUUCAUAUACCAUAUAUGAUAUGAAACAGUAGUACAUAUUAUAUUAGAUAUGUGAAUGAAUGAAUACCUUGGUUGGUGAGUGGUUAUUGAGACUUUGAAUCACAAGAAGGGAAUUGGAGAAGAAGAGAAGAGAGAGAGAGAGAGAUUAAGAGAAAAAAUGACAAAAAAAAAAAAUUAAUAAAAAAAGAAACUUUUUAAUGAAAGGAAAAUGGGUGAAAAGAGAGAAAGGGAGAGAGAAAGAAAAGGGCAAUGGUGUUGGAGGACACGUGUUGAUUCUUA